GGAGGUUAGUGCAAUGGCAUAAGCCAGCUUGACUGCGAGCGUGACGGCGCGAGCAGGUGCGAAAGCAGGUCAUAGUGAUCCGGUGGUUCUGAAUGGAAGGGCCAUCGCUCAACGGAUAAAAGGUACUCCGGGGAUAACAGGCUGAUACCGCCCAAGAGUUCAUAUCGACGGCGGUGUUUGGCACCUCGAUGUCGGCUCAUCACAUCCUGGGGCUGAAGUAGGUCCCAAGGGUAUGGCUGUUCGCCAUUUAAAGUGGUACGCGAGCUGGGUUUAGAACGUCGUGAGACAGUUCGGUCCCUAUCUGCCGUGGGCGCUGGAGAACUGAGGGGGGCUGCUCCUAGUACGAGAGGACCGGAGUGGACGCAUCACUGGUGUUCGGGUUGUCAUGCCAAUGGCACUGCCCGGUAGCUAAAUGCGGAAGAGAUAAGUGCUGAAAGCAUCUAAGCACGAAACUUGCCCCGAGAUGAGUUCUCCCUGAGACUUAGAGUCUCCUGAAGGAACGUUGAAGACGACGACGUUGAUAGGCCGGGUGUGUAAGCGCAGCGAUGCGUUGAGCUAACCGGUACUAAUGAACCGUGAGGCUUAACCUU
rnacentral:rRNA from 1 species